CUACAAAGGAAUUGACGGGUCCCGCACAAGCAGCGGAGCGUUGUGGUUUAAUUCGUUGCUACACGAAGAACCUUACCUGGGUUUGACAUAGCAGUGGUAGGGAAGAGAAAUCGGACCGACCUUCGGGAGCUGUUACAGGUGUUGCAUGGCUGCCGUCAGCUCGUGUCGUGAGAUGUUCGGUUAAGUCCGCUAACGAGCGCAACCCGCGUUGUGUGUUAUAUGUGUCACACAAUACCGCCGGUAUUAAGCCGGAGGAAGGUGCGGAUGACGUCAAGUCAGCAUGACCUUUAUAUCCAGGGCUACACACACGCUACAAUGGUCUGUACAAUGGGUAGCCAAGCCGCGAGGCGGAGCCAAUCCUGAAAGCAGGCCUCAGUUCAGAUUGCAGUCUGCAACUCGACUGCAUGAAGCCGGAGUUGCUAGUAACCGCAGGUCAGCAAUACUGCGGUGAAUACGUUCCCGGGUCUU
rnacentral:rRNA from 1 species